rnacentral:rRNA from 1 species
AUUGAACGCUGGCGGCAGGCCUAACACAUGCAAGUCGAACGCGUGGCGGGCGGGUGAGUAAUGUCUGGGAAACUGCUCGAUGGAGGGGGAUAACUACUGGAAACGGUAGCUAAUACCGCAUACCAUCGGAUGUGCCCAGAUGGGCUUAGCUAGUAGGCGGGGUAACGGCUCACCUAGGCAACGAUCCCUAGCGGGUCUGAGAGGAUGACCAGCCACGCUGGAACUGAGACACGUGCCAGCCUCCGACGGGAGGCAGCAGUGGUGAAUAAUUCACAAUGGGCGCAAGCCUGAUGCAGCCAUGCCGCUUGUAUGAAGAAGUCCUUCGGGUUGUAAAGUACUUUCAGCGAGUAGGCGUUACUCGCAGAAGAAGCACCGGCUAACUCCGUGCCAGCAGCCGCGGUAAUAC